rnacentral:rRNA from 1 species
UACGAACUGUGCGAACGUUAUUCGGAAUCACUGGGCUUACAGGGUGCGUAGGCGGCCUCAUCCGUCCGGCGUGAAAUGCCUGGGCUCAACCCAGGAAUUGCGCUCGAUACAGUGAGGCUAGAGUGUGGGAGAGGAUGGUGGAAUUCCCGGUGUAGAGGUGAAAUUCGUAGAUAUUGGGAAGAACACCGGUGGCGAAGGCGGCCAUCUGGACCACAACUGACGCUGAGGCGCGAAAGCGUGGGGAGCAAACAGG